GUAGCGGGUGAACAUGCGUAGAUAUUGGGCAGGCAACACCUGUGUCGAAGGCGCUCUCUGGACUAAUACUGACGCUGAGGACGCGAAAGCUAGGGGAGCAAACGGGAUUAGAUACCCCGGUAGUCCUAGCUGUAAACGAUGGGCACUAGGUGUGAGAGGUAUCGACCCCCCCCGUGCCGCAGCUAACGCAUUAAGUGCCCCGCCUGGGAAGUACGGCCACAAGGCUGAAACUCAAAGGAAUUGACGGGGGCCCGCACAAGCGGUGGAGCAUGUGGUUUAAUUCGACGCAACGCGAAGAACCUUACCAGGGCUUGACAUCCUGCGAAUCCCGGUGAAAGCCGGGAGUGCCCGCAAGGGAGCGCGGAGACAGGUGGUGCAUGGCUGUCGUCAGUUCGUGUCGUGAGAUGUUGGGUUAAGUCCCGCAACGAGCGCAACCCUCACCCUUUGUUGCCACCAGGUUAUGCUGGGCACUCUAAGGGAACUGCCUCGGUUAACGAGGAGGAAGGUGGGGACGACGUCAAGUCAUCAUGCCCCUUACGCUCUGGGCUACACACGUGCUACAAUGGCCAAUACAAAGGGCUGCAAACCCGCGAGGGCAAGCCAAUCCCAAAAAAUUGGUCUCAGUUCGGAUUGUAGGCUGCAACCCGCCUGCAUGAAGGAGGAAUCGCUAGUAAUCGUGGAUCAGCAUGCCACGGUGAAUACGUUCCCGGGCCUUGUACACACCGCCCGUCACACCACGAAAGUCUGUUGUACUCGAAGUCGUUGAGCCAACCCG
rnacentral:rRNA from 1 species